GGAGACUUGUCCGAGUGGUUGAAGGAGCACGCCUGGAAAGUGUGUAUAGGGGAAACUCUAUCAAGGGUUCGAAUCCCUUAGUCUCCGCCA
rnacentral:tRNA from 2 species